rnacentral:tRNA from 1 species
GUAGGCAUAGUUUAACAAAAACACUAGAUUGUGGUUCUAGAAACAGAGGUUAAAACCCCCUUGCUCACC